rnacentral:lncRNA from 1 species
CUGAAACAUUGCUUCUCAAAUCUUAAUGUGCAUCUGAAUCACCUGGGGAUCUUGUUAAAAUGCAGGGAGACAAGAAUCCUGCAUUUCUAACAGUUCCCAGGUGUGGCCCAAGCGUCCAGUCCACAGACCACACUUUGAGUAGUAAAGCUCUAAAUAUCAAAUAGCCUAGUUGAUGUUUUGUGGGUUUUUUAGUGAUGAAGAUUCUGUUGAGGGUGGAGGAAAGGGAGUGAUGGU